GACAAAAUCAACUAGAGGACAAAAUAAGCAUUGGGAGCAAUCACAUGAGACAGAUCCCCUUCAAUUUGCUUAUUUUAUUGGGAUUAGUCGAUAAAUCUUAUAUAUUUAUAUUUUUAAUAAUGAAAAAUUUAAAUAAAUAAACGAACGGAAUAUGUUUUGUAUAUUUUAUACGCCAAUCUUGACUUCCAAGGGGAAAAUGCAGUCUAGGCACGUUUCUUUAAUUUAUCUAAUUAAUUCAUUUUUUA
rnacentral:misc_RNA from 1 species